rnacentral:misc_RNA from 1 species
CCCCAAAUGAUCUGUUUUUAACAAGCAAAAGAUCACUCUACACAGAAUUUCAGUAUAACUCCAUCCAAAACGUGUAUAAAAUUAACAGGCUGUACAGAUGAUAACAAGUUAAUACCAUUCAUCAUAUUACAGUGCCAAGUCCCAGUUCAUCCUCAAUGUCAUCCCCAUCUUCAAACAGCUUCAAAAAUCGAGCUUGUUCUUGCUCCCUUUUCUUCUUUUGCCAGUGCUUGAACACUACCACUAUCCCAAGAAUCAAUACAGUUGAAACCAGAGCACUAAUCAAUAUUACCACAGCAACAUGCAUUCCUUUACUCCCUCUAUUAUGCGAGCCUGAGGCAGAGUUGGAAUCAGCAGCUAGAGGUACGCACUGUGGACACAAGAACGUAGCAUCAAAUUCCUUGUCCUUAAUUCGCCUAUAUUUUCCAUCAGAAUCCACAAAAUCAGAAGGACAAAAUUCCCAUUCAUCAAACACAUCAUCGGAUUUCAACUUGUCUUCCUCGUAGAAUCCACAGCGCUUGCACUUCUUACUUGUAAAUUCCGUUAGAGGCUGCCAAGAUUCUUCGCCUUUGAAAGCAUAGGAGACAUUAACUUCCUUGACAUCGGGCAAAUGGGUCUUGUUCUCUC